GAUGAACGCUGACAGAAUGCUUAACACAUACAAGUCGAUGGGGAAGUGGUGCUUGCACCAUGGUAACCAUGGCGGACGGGUGAGUAACGCGUAAGGAACUUACCUGCGGGACCGGGAUAACAGCAGGAAACUGCUGACAAGACCGGAUAAGGUCAUUAAGCUGCAUAGCUUAGUGAUGAAAGGAGACGCCUGCGGAGAGCCUUGCGUCCUAUUAGCUAGUUGGAGGGGUAACGGCCCACCAAGGCGAAGAUAGGUAGCCGGCCUGAGAGGGUGGACGGCCACAAGGGGACUGAGAUACGGCCCUUACUCCUACGGGAGGCAGCAGUGGGGAAUAUUGGACAAUGGGGGCAACCCUGAUCCAGCAAUUCUGUGUGCACGAAGACGGUUUUCGGAUUGUAAAGUGCUUUCAGCAGGGAAGAAGGAAGUGACGGUACCUGCAGAAGAAGCGACGGCUAAAUACGUG
rnacentral:rRNA from 1 species